AUCCAGCUGACGAGUCCCAAAUAGGACGAAACGCGCGUCCAACUAU
rnacentral:hammerhead_ribozyme from 1 species